GACGAACGCUGGCGGCGUGCUUAACACAUGCAAGUCGAGCGGUAAGGCCCUUUCGGGGGUACACGAGCGGCGAACGGGUGAGUAACACGUGGGUGACCUGCCCUUAGCUCUGGGAUAAGCCUGGGAAACUGGGUCUAAUACCGGAUAUGACCUCAUGACUCAUGUUGUGGGGUGGAAAGCCUUGUGCGGCUAGGGAUGGGCCCGCGGCCUAUCAGCUUGUUGGUGGGGUAAUUGCCUACCAAGGCGACGACGGGUAGCCGGCCUGAGAGGGCGACCG
rnacentral:rRNA from 1 species